GAACUUAGCUUAGUGGUAGAACAUCUGCUUUCCAUGCAGGUCCUGAGUUCAAUCCCCAGCAUCUCCA